GGGGAAUAUUGCACAAUGGGCGAAAGCCUGAUGCAGCAACGCCGCGUGAAGGAAGACGGUUUUCGGAUUGUAAACUUCUAUCAAUAGGGAAGAAAGAAAUGACGGUACCUGCAUAAGAAGCCCCGGCUACCUACGUGCCAGCAGCCGCGGUAAUACGUAGGGGGCAAGCGUUAUCCGGAUUUACUGGGUGUAAAGGGAGCGUAGACGGUUAUGCAAGUCUGGAGUGAAAGCCCGGGGCUCAACCCCGGGACUGCUUUGGAAACUGUAAAACUGGAGUGCAGGAGAGGCAGGCGGAAUUCCUAGUGUAGCGGUGAAAUGCGUAGAUAUUAGGAGGAACACCAGUGGCGAAGGCGGCCUGCUGGACUGUAACUGACGUUGAGGCUCGAAAGUGUGGGGAGCAAACAGG
rnacentral:rRNA from 1 species